GAGGAGCACCUUGCCAUUUGGAUAUAUACUAGCUGUGUUUGUGCCCUCACUCAUGGUUCAGACUUUUUUCAAAAAGGACAUGGAGUUUGUCUGCAGCGAGCGUUUUGGUAGAAACUGCGCCUCCCAUUCAUUAUAAUGGUAAAUGACCACAGACAAGUGCGCACACCAUCUUUGGACCUUGAGUGUGACGCCAUCGGGAGGGGUAGGCGGUUGCGCUGGGGGCGGCGCGACACGGCUCGGGCCCGCCAGUGCCCCAACGGGGCCCUAGUUAUUAUUUUUCCUCCGCUUUAAACUGGAAAAUGGCCCACUUCCCACUGGCGAAAACUCAUGAAAUUUGGCAGGACGACCGGGCCUGGUGAAAAAUUCGAUAUUCUGAAGUCACCUAAACAAUAAAAUGCAAAAUGGCUCCAUAGCGCCCCCUAAGGUGAAAAUUCACACUAUUGACUGUCACGCCUGUACGCUUUGUCAUAUUGACACAAAAAUUGACACACACAUGUAUCUCAAUAAGAUCUACAAAAAAGUCAGUGCGGGCGUAUCUGUCAAAUGUACGUUUAAAGGGUUAUUUCGCAUUUUUUGCCGAUCCGCACACAUUGGAAUUUCGCUAACUCCUCCGAAGGCUUUCGUUCCACCGGCACCACAUUUGCUCAGGCCAAUCUACACUCCAUGGCCAUUCAAAGUUGUACAAAUCAUGAUGCUGCACCCCAUGGUUUAGGUUCUAGGGGGCGCCAAAAAUAACCCAAAAAUCCACAUUCUUAAAAGUUUUAUAACUUUUUAUUUUUGUCCCCACUGGCCUCCAAGUUUUCUAGGAUGAUGCAAUGUCCAGCCAUAAACACAUUUGUGAAGGAAUUUUUACUCCCCAAAAGAGCGCCCCCCCAUGGCAGGACAAAAAAGUCAAUUUUUUCUUGUCCCCUAAGGUGAAAAUACACAUUGUUGAGAUUCACGCCUGUACGCUUUGUCAUAUUGACAAAAAAUUUGACACACACGUGUAUCUCAAUAAGAUCUACGAAAAAGUCAAUGCGCGCGUAUCUGUCAAAUGUACGGCUAAACGGCUAUUUUGCAUUUUUUGCCGAUUCGCACACAUUGGAAUGUGGCUAACUCCUCCUAAGGCUUUCGUCCCACUGACACCAAAUUUGCUCAGGCCAAUCUACACCCCAUGGCCAUUCAAAGUUGUAAAAAUCAUGCCGCAUCACCCCAUGGUUUACGUUCUAGGGGGCGCCAAAGAUGACCCAAAUAUCCACAUUCUUAAAAGUCGUUUUGGCCACUGCAGGAGUACAGAGUACUGCAGGAUACACACACACAGACACACACACACACAGACACACACACACACGCACGCACACACACACACACACACACACACACACAUACACACUCAGAGUCUGUUUUUCAGCACCUGCAAAAACAUGCUAUUUACAUAUUUGACAACAAUGCAGAGACUUCCUUUUGCCCCUGAAAAAAAUCAAAUUUCAAACACAACUUGACUGGUCAUUUCUCCAAAAGACAACCAUGAAGCUCCAUCCAAACCUGAAGCAGGCAGUUGGUGCAUGUGUAUAGUAACCUGAGGGGAGUGAGGUGACUGCUUCUGAGGAGAACAUGAGCAGUGAAGAUUCACCUUGGAGCUAGAACAGAGACGUGCACAUGAUUAUACAGGGGCAGGGGCUCAAGUUUUUUCCAGUUGUUUAUACAAUAUGGAAAUUAAUGUGAAAUUAAAAAACAAAGUAUUAAUAGAAAGGUAAUGACUGUCCUGUGUAGGUGACAGUGAUAUCCAAUAGGCUAGGCACUCACGAGGCUGGCUGUGGCAAGUGUAAGUGAAAGCAACACGCACUGGCAGGAAGAACAGCAAACGCCGAUGAAGGAAAAGGGUCUUUGCAGUGAUGGGCGUUACCAGAGAGGGUGAUGGCCAGAGGACACAAAUGGGACGGGGAGGCGGUCGCGUUGGGGGGGGGGGCGCGACACGGCUC